UCCUCAAGGCUUCCUCCUCACACAUCAGAGCUUCUAGGUCAAUGCUGUCACCACAGGCAGAUCAGUUGAAGAAGAUAAGACUUUGCCCAUGUUUCUCUGCUGGGUUCUUAUGGCCUUCCUGGCUCCUACAGGCUGGGCUCUUCAGCAAACCCCAGACUCAGUUGUCCGACUGGGAGACUCUCUGACUCUGAACUGUUCGCACAAGGAGAGUGGAGCCUGGACCAUGUUCUGGUACAAGCUGCCAGUGGGGAAGAACGCCACUUUGAAGCUGGUUGUACGUUCAGUGGAGGGUACCAAGGCAGAUUUUGAGGAGGAAUUCAAAAGCCGCUUCCAGAGUAGUGGGACUAAGGCGAACUCCUUAUCGGUGACGAUAGAUCAUGUCCUACUCAAUGACUCGGGCACUUAUUUCUGUGCAAAGCAAGAUACACUGUGACACGAAGGCUGGAGCAGCGUAGCGCAAACCCUUCUCCAUAUGAUGUUGUUAAACUUGUCAGCAUUCACUGAAAAGUAGCCCUGCAGAUUGUUUGGAUAACGGGAAGAAUUGUGUCUUGGUUGAAGUCCUCCAGCAGGAUGAGUGCUGGCAGUUGCGAUGCCUCCUGUAGCUGGAGGGAGAAGACCUCAUUGACAGGCUCUGCUUGAUUGAGUGACCGGUAGUAGACACUGAUCACAAGGCUUCCUUUGCUGCCUCAGUCUCUGGCAUCACCCAUAGGCUUUUGACUUGCUCAUGACUAUACUUUAGGGAUAAGCCUUCACAUUCUCUUCCUUUCAUGAUGUAGAUAGCAGCACUACCUCCCCUCCUUCCUUGUCUGUCCCUUCUGAACAGCUGGUAGCAGCUGAAUAGCCACACUCCAGACAUACGAAUCAUCCCACCAGGUUUCAGUGAUGGCAACUAUACUGUGGCUUUCUAGUGGCACAACAGAUUCCAGCAUCUCCUGCUUGUUUCCCAAGCCGUGUGCAUUGGUGUAGAGGCACUUCAGCUGGGCAGCCAGCCUUGUCAAGCCCUUGAAGGAUAACUCCUUCAUUCCUUUUAAGCAUUCCCCUUGAUUUUCCCCAUUGCCAAACGUCAGGCACGUCCCUUCGCAACGGCUUUUUCCGCGAUGAUCUACCUUUCUGCUGAAAUAAAGGGGGUGAAGGAGGUGGUCAUACAGCCUCGCUGCGCAUGCUCGAAGAGACGUUAGCAUGUAUUCAUGAGUUCUUGGGAAAGAAUGAGUAUGUGUGAUGUUUCUGGGAAACGUAUUGCACCUGUAUGUUUUAACGGUGUAAAUGUGGAACCUGAACUCCGAGAGCACAUGCUUGAUUUGUCAAGCUGGCCGGUACAAAUGGUGAGCUAAAUUAAUGUCACUUUCCAACACCACAGCGGAGUUAGAGAGUUUUCUUCCCAGACUUUGAUAACAAGCAAUAGGUAAAACUUUGGUGUGAUAUCAGCCUGAGCAAAGCACAGUACUUCACGGGCUUCCAUACGGGAAAUCCCAUUCCAUCCAUACCCCGGGCAAGCACAGAAGGGGAACAACUUUGUAAGCUACCUUUUCAUGGUAGGGUCUACCAGUGAAAUGAAUGAUGUUCCAACAGGUAAGAAGGGAGAGCCCAUAAGAACAUUUCAACAAUUUUGAUAUCAAGUCUUGAAUAUCAAAUCUAGAAAGUGGAAUUUCUUCUU